rnacentral:rRNA from 1 species
UUUUUUUAGACUAGAGUAGUAAUAGUUAUGUUCUUGAAACUUAAAAAAUUUGGCGGUAUUUUAGUCUAUUUAGAGGAACCUGUACUGUAAUCGAUAGUCCACGUUGGACCUUACUUGAUUUUGAAAUUCAAUUUGUAUACCGUCGUUAUUUGAAGAUUUUUUUAGAAAAAUAAUUUUCAAGAUUUUACAUAAAAAAGUAAAUCAGAUCAAGGUGCAGUUUAUGGUCAAGUAGUUAUGGGUUACAAUAAUUAUAAUUAAACGGAAUAGAUUUUGAAAAUAAUUUAUGAAGGUGGAUUUAAUAGUAAAAUUUUAAAGAUAAAAAAUU